UGAACUUGAAAAACAGUUUUUGUGCUUCGUUGGGUUAUAUAUUCUUUUAAUUAUUAUCUUUAGAAAUAUGACACUUUGCCAUCUACAGAGCAUCUGAGUAGAGAACUGUGUUGUCCAGUACACUGGCCACUGGCCACACAUGGCUGUUGAGCACUUGAAUGUCGCUAGUCUGAAUCAAGAUAUGCUGUGAGUGUAAAAUACA